AUUGAACGCUGGCGGCAGGCCUAACACAUGCAAGUCGAACGAGUGGCGGACGGGUGAGUAAUGUCUGGGAAACUGCCUGAUGGAGGGGGAUAACUACUGGAAACGGUAGCUAAUACCGCAUACCAUCAGAUGUGCCCAGAUGGGAUUAGCUUGUUGGUGGGGUAACGGCUCACCAAGGCGACGAUCCCUAGCUGGUCUGAGAGGAUGACCAGGCCAAACGGGAACGAGACAAGGUCCAGACGCCUACGGGAGGCAGCAGGGGGGAAGAUUGCACAAUGGGCGCAAGGCUGAUGGAGGCAUGCCGGGGGUAUGAAGAAGGCCUUUGGGGUGUAAAGGAAUUUUAGGGGGGAGGCGGUAACCGCCGAAGAAGGACCGGCCAACUCCGUGCCAGCAGCCGCGGUAAUAC
rnacentral:rRNA from 1 species